rnacentral:pre_miRNA from 1 species
UACAUACUCCCUCCGUCCGAAAAAGCUUGUCCCUCAAAUGGAUGUAUCUAGCACCAAGUUAGUGCUAGAUACAUCCAUUUGAGGAACAAGCUUGGGACAAGCUUUUUUGGACGGAGGGAGUAAAAU